rnacentral:rRNA from 1 species
UACGAAGGGGGCUAGCGUUACUCGGAUUGACUGGGCGUAAAGGGCGCGUAGGCGGAUGGUACAGUCAGACGUGAAAUUCCUGGGCUCAACCUGGGGGCUGCGUUUGAUACGUGCUGUCUGGAGUUCGGAAGAGGGUCGUGGAAUUCCCAGUGUAGAGGUGAAAUUCGUAGAUAUUGGGAAGAACACCGGUGGCGAAGGCGGCCUGCUGGGCAGUUGCUGACACUGAGGCGCGACAGCGUGGGGAGCAAACAGG